CCCUCCCCCCUCUCUAAUGGUACAGGCCGAUCAGGAAGCCUCAGUUUGUCUCUGGGUGUACUCCCAUGUGACGUCUGUCCGUGUCCAACAUGCAGCACACACGCGUGUGUGUCCGUCGUUCCCACGCACCACAGAAGUGUGGCACAGAAGUGUGCCAGGGUUGUCAGGGGCAACGACGUCCGAUAGAAUCCAUCCCUCAUGAGCGGAGCUUCCCCUCCAGUGGGGGGCGCUGUUGGUUCCCACAGCAUUCUUGUUGCCAAGUACUGUGAUGAGGAGAUCUCUGGGAGGUCUCUGGACAGCAGGGGGCUCCACCACGCGUACACAACUAAGGAUUUACCAUCAUGAGAAGUGCCAACACGCUCUCUUCUUCUAGGACUCUCAGGCUGCUCUGGGCGGCCUCUCGUUCAAGGGAAUCAGAUUCUAUAUAUCCUUGUACACAGAAGAAAAAAGAAGAAGAAGAAGAGAAAAAUAGGAUUUAUUAACUAGUUUGCUCUCGGAGAUGUUUGCAUGUUAUUUUUUCUAAAGCGCUUGGAUAGAGGACUUGUAUUUUUGCAUUCGAUUUGAUUUUUGGAUUGAUUUUUAAAUUUGGUUCUUUUUUUUUUAUGCUUUGCCUUGUUGCCCCCCAACCCCCACCCCUCUGAUUGGUUUAGUCUGGAUAUAGCUUUGUUUUCUUCCUCUGUAUGAGAUGCACUUUGUGGUACUUUAAGGGUGUUAGAAGGCGAAGGAGAAGAAGGUGGAGAACUUGGAUAAGAACAAACUGAACAUUUUCAUUUUCAUCUCCUGGCCUCCGACGACGCUCUCCGUGAAAGACUUCUUCCUUGUCCGUUUUUUCCGUUCCUCUUUUUCUUCGUAACUGUGAGUUUUGCACAGUCUUUGUCUCUCGGUAUCACCUGAAAAUAGCACUUUUUUAGUUGUACAAAAAAAAAGAAUACUUUACAUAAAUAGUCUAUAUGUUAAAACUGAAUAGAAUUUUAUCCUCCUUUAAUAAGGUUUUAUGUCUUUGGGCGACAUUACCUCCGCGGAGAGACCCUUUCCUCCCUGUUUCGUUGUGCCGGGGACGGGCGGUGGAAAUCAUACGGAGUUCGAGUUCAACAGGUAGACAGAAAGACGGCGGGACGAACGGACAGACAGACAGAACGCCUUUACAACAUGCAGCAGUAAGGUGCGGCCUCACCACUAGAGGGCGCUGUGGCUGACUGAGCACCGCUGCAGCAAACCGUCACUGCAGAGUCGC
ensembl:lncRNA